ensembl:snRNA U6 U6 spliceosomal RNA
AAACCUAUGGUUUUUGUGCUCACUUUGGCAGGACAUGGCCCCUGCACAAGGAUAACACACAAAUUCAUGAAGUGUUCCAUAUUUUU